rnacentral:tRNA from 1 species
GAGCCCGUAGCUCAGGUGGUAGAGCACGAGACUUUUAAUCUUGGGGUCGUGGGUUCGAGUCCCACCGGGCUCA